UAAUUUAUUGCUGUCUUGUGCAUUUUCAGGUGAAAAGAGCAUUAAGAGGCAUAAAGGUGCAGCUCGACCAUCAGGAUCAUGUCAAACGGUACAAAAUUACAGGCGUGUCAACAGAACCUACUCAAAAGUUGAUGUUUCAGCUGGACGAGUCAGGGACAAGAAUAUCUGUGGCCCAAUACUUCCACCAGAAGUACAAUAUUGUGCUCAAGUAUCCAUUCUUGCCUGCGAUUCAGGCGGGCAGUGAUACAAAGCCUGUUUAUCUUCCUAUGGAGCUUUGUAGCAUUGUUGAGGGCCAAAGGUACUCUAGGAAGUUGAAUGAGAAACAAGUUACUGCACUUCUGAGAGCUACCUGUCAACGUCC